AAUUAACACUAAAGUUUGGUUUAGUGACUAAACUAAUAUAUAAUUUUAUAUAUUUAAAUAGUUUAAACUUAACUUAGGUUUUCAAGAUUGUAUGCUUUUACUUUUUGCUGUACAAUGAUUAAAAUUGCAUUAGAGUUUUAACAUUUUACAUAAUAAUAUUACAAUAAAUUAAAACAUUUUUGUAUUGAAAUAGGUAAUAUUUGAAUUAUAAAGGUAACAUGUAAUAUCUAUUGAAAAUUAAUUUUUAUUUAUCUGAGUAUUUUUUUUCUUCUAAGUAUUGAUAUUGAUGGAGAGUUCUGGAUGUUUAAUUCUUCACGUGUUGAACCAAGAUCGGUCGAAAAAAAAAGUGGUUGUGUACAAGUACAAUCAAGGCAAAGCUGGAUUCUUAUCAUCAGUAUGAGUUUACAUUGUUUUGUCUGUGGAAAGUCCUUUGGUGCUCUAAACAUUAUGGUAUGGCAUU